GACUGUUUCCUUUGGAUGGAAGAUCAAUCCCCUAUUUUCUUUCUCUAUUUAACAUUUCAUUUAAUUUGAUUAUAUUUGGAAUAGUGCAUCUAUUUUUUAAGGUUGAAAAUCAAUAUGGGAUGAAUAUUAAUCAAUAAUGUAAUCCUAUUCGGCUCUCUCUUGAAAUCAAGGAAAUCCUUGCUCACCUUGCCAAAAUUCAUACCAUUUUUCCCACAAAGGAUCGAAUAUUUUGGUCCAUUUCAUUUUGGAUGGAAGAUCAAUCCCCUGUUUUCUUGCUCUGUUUGCUCUAUUUCCUCUCCCUCACCCUUUCCAACAAAGGAUCAAAAAUUUUAGUCCGUCCUAUUUACUUUUCCAAUAACGGAUCAUACACCUGUACACCUCGCCAAGAAUAGCACGUGUCACUUUGGUUAUGUUGCCUUAUGUUUCUGAACAUUGUGCCGAUGAUGUACUAUCAAUCUUGCCAAUCUCAUUGCAUAAUUUUCUUUUGUAGUUUAAAAGAGUGCCACAUCAACAAAUAGAAAGCAAACCAUGGAUCAACAAUUUUAGUCCGACCUAUUUACUUUUCCAACAAUGGAAUUUCCUUCGAGAUUUGCCAAGAAUCAUAACAGUUGCAUUCAGAUCGAAUAUUUGAUGCCCUAGCCUCCAGCGGUUGCCAUACCGGUUCCUAUUCCCACGCAUCCUUCGAGGAGCAAGUUGCCAUCCUUGAGAGGCGCCGGUUGCCUAGCUUCCUGAGGAACUCCUUAUUUAAUCACUAUUUCCCCCACCAUCGGCGUAGUCACUAGUUCUACUAGCAUCUCAUCCCUGACGCACGCAACUCACCCCAGCAGACCGGGUGACGCCAUGAAGCGAUCCGUCUCCCCCUCGGCCCCCACCUCCUCUGGCUCCUUGCUGCCCCACCUAUCCCCCACUAGCUCCCCCUCGUACAUCGAGCGAUC
rnacentral:lncRNA from 1 species